AGCAGCCGCGGUAAUUCCAGCUCCAAUAGCGUAUAUUAAAGUUGUUGCAGUUAAAAAGCUCGUAGUUGAAUUUCGGAAUCAAUAUGUUGGUCGUGCUUUGGUACGUACUGGCAUUAUUGGUUUCUACCUUCUGAAGAACCUUGAUGUCAUUAAGUUGGUGUCUUGGGGAAUCAGGACUGUUACUUUGAAAAAAUUAGAGUGUUUAAAGCAGGCUCACGCUUGAAUACAUUAGCAUGGAAUAAUGAAAUAGGACGUUUGAUUCUAUUUUGUUGGUUUCUAGGAUCGACGUAAUGAUUAAUAGGGAUAGUUGGGGGCAUUAGUAUUCAAUUGUCAGAGGUGAAAUUCUUGGAUUUAUUGAAGACUGACUACUGCGAAAGCAUUUGCCAAGGAUGUUUUCAUUAAUCAAGAACGAAAGUUAGGGGAUCGAAGACGAUCAGAUACCGUCGUAGUCUUAACCAUAAACUAUGCCGACUAGGGAUCGGAUGAUGUUAAUUUUUUAAUGACUCAUUCGGCGCCUUACG
rnacentral:rRNA from 1 species